GUAGUGAGGUGGUGUUUAUUAAUUAGUGUGUGUAUAUAUGGUCAGUAGUGAGGUGGUGUUUAUUAAUUAGUGUGUGUAUAUAUGGUCAGUAGUGAGGUGGUGUUUAUUAAUUAGUGUGUGUAUAUAUGGUCAGUAGUGUUGUGGUGUUUAUUAAUUUGUGUGUGUAUAUAUGGUCAGUCGUGAGAUGGUGUUUAUUAAUUAGUGUGUGUAUAUGUGGUCAGUAGUGUUGUGGUGUUUAUUAAUGAGUGUAAGAUGUAUAUGUGGUCAGUAGUGAGGUGGUGUUUAUUAAUGAGUGUAAGGUGUAUAUGUGGUCAGUAGUGAGGUGGUGUUUAUUAAUGAGUGUAAGGUGUAUAUGUGGUCAGUAGUGUUGUGGUGUUUAUUAAUGAGUGUAAGGUGUAUAUGUGGUCAGUAGUGUUGUGGUGUUUAUUAAUGAGUGUAAGGUGUAUAUGUGGUCAGUAGUGUUGUGGUGUUUAUUAAUGAGUGUAAGGUGUAUAUGUGGUCAGUAGUGUUGUGGUGUUUAUUAAUGUGUGUAAGGUGUAUAUGUGGUCAGUAGUGUUGUGGUGUUUAAAAUGAGUGUAAGAUGUAUAUGUGGUCAGCAGUGAGAUGGUGUUUAUUAAUUAGUGUGUGUAUAUAUGGUCAGUAGUGUUGUGGUGUUUAAAAUGAGUGUAAGGUGUAUAUGUGGUCAGUCGUGUUGUGGUGUUUAUUAAUUAGUACAAGAUGUAUAUGUGGUCAGUAGUGAGGUGGUGUUUAUUAAUUAGUGUGUGUAUAUGUGGUCAGUAGUGUUGUGGUGUUUAAAAUGAGUGUAAGGUGUAUAUGUGGUCAGUCGUGUUGUGGUGUUUAUUAAUUAGUACAAGAUGUAUAUGUGGUCAGUAGUGAGGUGGUGUUUAAUGAGUGUAAGAUGUAUAUGUGGUCAGUAGUGUUGUGGUGUUUAUUAAUUUGUGUGUGUAUAUAUGGUCAGUCGUGAGAUGGUGUUUAUUAAUUAGUGUGUGUAUAUGUGGUCAGUAGUGUUGUGGUGUUUAUUAAUGAGUGUAAGAUGUAUAUGUGGUCAGUAGUGAGGUGGUGUUUAUUAAUGAGUGUAAGGUGUAUAUGUGGUCAGUAGUGUUGUGGUGUUUAUUAAUGAGUGUAAGAUGUAUAUGUGGUCAGUAGUGAGGUGGUGUUUAUUAAUGUGUGUAAGGUGUAUAUGUGGUCAGUAGUGAGGUGGUGUUUAUUAAUGAGUGUAAGAUGUAUAUGUGGUCAGUAGUGAGGUGGUGUUUAUUAAUGAGUGUAAGGUGUAUAUGUGGUCAGUAGUGAGGUGGUGUUUAUUAAUGAGUGUAAGGUGUAUAUGUGGUCAGUAGUGUUGUGGUGUUUAUUAAUGAGUGUAAGGUGUAUAUGUGGUCAGUAGUGAGGUGGUGUUUAUUAAUGAGUGUAAGGUGUAUAUGUGGUCAGUAGUGUUGUGGUGUUUAUUAAUGAGUGU